CCGGCGACCGGCGCACGGGUGAGUAACACGUGUGCAACCUGGCCGUGACAGAUGGAUAACCGGGAGAAAUCCCGCCUAAUACAACAUAAUGCCGGGAGGGGACAUCCCCUGCCGGUCAAAGGGGGCGACCCCGGUCAUGGAUGGGCAUGCGGCGCAUUAGGUAGUUGGUGGGGCAACGGCCCACCAAGCCGACGAUGCGUAGGGGUUCUGAGAGGAAGGCCCCCCACACUGGGACUGAGACACGGCCCAGACUCCUACGGAAGGCAGCAG
rnacentral:rRNA from 1 species